CUCCGGUUGAUCCCGCCGGACCCGACUGCUAUCAGAGUGGGACUAAGCCAUGCGAGUCAACAUAGCAAUAUGUGGCAUACGGCUCAGUAACACGUAGUCAACAUGCCCAGGGGACGUGGAUAACCUCGGGAAACUGAGGAUAAACCGCGAUAAGUCACUACUUCUGGAAUGGGUAAUGACUCAAAUCUACAUGGCCCCUGGAUUGGACUGCGGCCGAUCAGGCUGUUGGUGAGGUAAUGGCCCACCAAACCUGUAACCGGUACGGGCUCUGAGAGGAGGAGCCCGGAGAUGGGCACUGAGACAAGGGCCCAGGCCCUAUGGGGCGCAGCAGGCGCGAAACCUCUGCAAUAGGCGAAAGCCUGACAGGGUUACUCUGAGUGAUUUCCGUUAAGGAGAUCUUUUGGCACCUCUAAAAAUGGUGCAGAAUAAGGGGUGGGCAAGUCUGGUGUCAGCCGCCGCGGUAAUACCAGCACCCCGAGUGGUCGGGACGUUUAUUGGGCCUAAAGCAUCCGUAGCCGGUUCUACAAGUCUUCCGUUAAAUCCACCUGCUUAACAGAUGGGCUGCGGAAGAUACUAUAGAGCUAGGAGGCGGGAGAGGCAAGCGGUACUCGAUGGGUAGGGGUAAAAUCCGUUGAUCCAUUGAAGACCACCAGUGGCGAAGGCGGCUUGCCAGAACGCGCUCGACGGUGAGGGAUGAAAGCUGGGGGAGCAAACCGGAUUAGAUACCCGGGUAGUCCCAGCUGUAAACGAUGCAGACUCGGUGAUGAGUUGGCUUAUUGCUAACUCAGUGCCGCAGGGAAGCCGUUAAGUCUGCCGCCUGGGGAGUACGGUCGCAAGACUGAAACUUAAAGGAAUUGGCGGGGGAGCCA
rnacentral:rRNA from 1 species